rnacentral:lncRNA from 1 species
AAUUAUUUAGUCUAAAUGUUGAUAAUGAUUUGGGUGAAAAUUUGAAUGGAACAAAGGUAAAUAAUAUAGUUACAUAUGUUUAGUCAUUUUAAUGCACAUAUGUAUUUUUUUGUUUAUCAUUUAUAUGUUAUAUAUAUAUAUAUAUAUAUAUAAAUGUUGAAAUUGAUUCUCAAGAAUUAAUCCCUGAUGAGCUUCUCCGAACUAUAAAUUCGAAUUACUUACAUUCUGAGAAGGUUGAUCAACAUGAUUGUCGAGUAUGUAUAAUGAAUUUACCUUUGGCUAUAUGUGAUUUAAUAAUUCAGGGGACGAUUAUCUUUUUUCUUUCAUUUUUUAUAGACCAGCGAUGAGAAAAUGUAUGAAACAAUUUUGUCCGAUUCGCAAUUGACAAUUUCAAAUGAGAUAUUACCGAAUCUAAAUGCCUACCGAAGAGAAAGCAUCGUCAAACUUCCUUCAAAAAAUCGUGAAGAAGAAUCUCAUUAUGAAAAUUUGAAUGAUAAAAAGGCUGAGAAUGUUGUUGAAGAUCAAUUCAAGUAUGUAUAGUGAACAUAUAUUUUGAGGUUACGUAUGUUUUAUUGAAUAGAACAAACUAAUAUUUUUUCCUAUUCUUUUGUUAGACGAACAAAGAGAACAAUGGUUUGAGUUUAAAAUCACCGGUGCAUGCAGAGGAUGAACUUGAUACAAAGGAGCAAGUUAGGAUACUUUUUAAUACACAAGAACUAUCCAUUGAUGAACAAAGGGAUGAACAAAAGAAUGAACAAGUGUGGCCUGACUCACAAAACACAAUCCCUGAUGAGUUUCUACCUAGUCUGAAUGUCUACAAAUGAAAAAGCAUCAUUAUUCAUCCCUCUGCUAAUCGUGAACUUCAAACUCCCGUAUAAAAGUUAAGGAUUAGGAGACCAUCCAAAUUCAAGGAGUCGCCGUAUACUGAUAACUUUGGUUCANNNNNNNNNNNNNNNNNNNNNNNNNNNNNNNNNNNNNNNNNNNNNNNNNNNNNNNNNNNNNNNNNNNNNNNNNNNNNNNNNNNNNNNNNNNNNNNNNNNNNNNNNNNNNNNNNNNNNNNNNNNNNNNNNNNNNNNNNNNNNNNNNNNNNNNNNNNNNNNNNNNNNNNNNNNNNNNNNNNNNNNNNNNNNNNNNNNNNNNNNNNNNNNNNNNNNNNNNNNNNNNNNNNNNNNNNNNNNNNNNNNNNNNNNNNNNNNNNNNNNNNNNNNNNNNNNNNNNNNNNNNNNNNNNNNNNNNNNNNNNNNNNNNNNNNNNNNNNNNNNNNNNNNNNNNNNNNNNNNNNNNNNNNNNNNNNNNNNNNNNNNNNNNNNNNNNNNNNNNNNNNNNNNNNNNNNNNNNNNNNNNNNNNNNNNNNNNNNNNNNNNNNNNNNNNNNNNNNNNNNNNNNNNNNNNNNNNNNNNNNNNNNNNNNNNNNNNNNNNNNNNCGUAUACUGAUAACUGUGGUGCAGCAGCCGGUAAGUACACUAAGUUAUAUAUAUUUUUUAAUGUAUUAUGUUUUGCAAAUAUGUUUGUAUUAAUUAUAUUUUUGUAUUUUGUAAUUAUAUGGAGAUCAGUAGGAUAAAUACGUAUAUUUUUCAGAAACAUCCAUUUGUAUAUCACCCGAUUGAUGGGAUAGUGGAUACGAAUAUUGUCAAGAAGUUCAUGGACUGAAUUUCUGUCGACCUUCUAAAAGUUUCUGCUGAAAGGUAGUUCUUUUGAAUUUUUUCAGAUUUAUUUUUUAUAUCUAUUAUGUUUUGAUGAUUUACCAUGUACUUAAAAAAAACAGAAAGGGUAAAGUAGAACAUUACAAGAAGGGCAAAUCAGACAUUUCAAUGAUGCAUUUUGGAGUUCAGACUGUUGAAGAUAAAAAUUGAUCUUACACUAUGAAAUUCGCAGAUCAGUUAUGGACAAACUCGGUUAGUAUAUUAUAUUGAAAAAAAUUUUAUUACAACUGUAACAUUACUUAAAAUACAUAUUAGGUUUCCAUAAAAUCCAUAUACUUUCACACAUAUGUAUUUUUUACUACUCUUUCAUUAGACUUUUAUAUGUUGUGCUAAAAAUACAUGUAUACUUUAGUAAUAUACAUGUGAGGUAUUCAAUUACAUCACAUACUGUCGCAUUUAUUUUUUUCUUACAUUUUCUGCAUAUAAGUGUAGUUUAAAAAUGAAACUAUACAUACACAGAUCUUAGACAUUAAUAUAAAAAACUCAUAUGUAUUUUAUCUUACAUACAUAUGCAAAUUUAGAAUGCAAUUUUUUUAAAAGUUUUAAAUUUUGUGGUAUUAAUUACUGCAGUAAAUUGAUGUUUGCUUCUACUAAUUGAAGAAGAACUCAAAGUACGGGCCGCACAGCUCUUACAAAUACGAGCCAAAUAAAUCGUACAAAUACAGCACAGUAGAUUGCAACUUCAUGAAUAUAAUUAGGGCUUUGAUGGAAGUAUAUUUUGUGGAUGAUCCAAACCUUAAUGCUGGAAGACAGGAGGCCCAUCUUAAUAAAUACAUCAAUGAAUUUCGUAUGCAUACUGCGGUGCCAUGAUAUACAGUGAAAGACAUUUAUAUUUCAAUCAAUAUUAAGGGAAAAUAUCAUUGGAUUCUGGCGGUGUUAUCCUUCUAAGAGAGGUGCAUAUUCUUAUUCAUAUGAAUUCAGUGGUCAUUAUGCAGCUGUUCUUGCGGAGGUUGAGCAACUAACAAUGAUUAUUCCAUUGUGUCUCCAAGAUUGUGAUUUCUACGUUAAGAAAGGAAUUGAUCUUCAAAAUCAUCAAAGAUACAAAGACAAAGACUCAUCAGAUAUGUUUGAUGUUUUAUUUGAAGAUAAUUUGCCUCAACAAAGUGGAAGCUUGUAAGUAUUUUAAUAUACAUAUACCAAAAUUGUAAAUUUGUACAAAAAAUAUUUUACUUAUUAUUCAAUUUUUUCUAUUUUUGUAGGGAUUGUGGAUUGUAUACUGUUACUUAUGCAGAGUGCCUUUCAAACGGUGAUAAAGUUUCUUCGAUUGAGUUCAAUCCCAAUGCACUCCAUAGAAGAUAUGUUGCACUAUUAUGGGACUAUGGUAUUCGAAAACAGGAAGCGAAUGCACAUAGUGAUUUCGAAACACCCUUGAGGUCUGUUAGGCAAAGCAGAAUAACUAGUGUCAUUGAAGUUUUAGAUUUAUGAUGGCUAAUGAUUUCUUAAUUGGAUAGGUAACAAACUGAUAUAUGGAUGUGGUUUUAGAUGUAUUUCUGUUUUUUGAAUUGUUGCAGAUACAUUGAUUUUGAACUGCAUAUGUAUAUAGUAUUUUAUUAUGGUGUUCAGUAGUGACAUUUAACUCUAAAAUACAUAUUCAGUUUUUAAUUUUGCUUUAUCAAAUUUAUAUGCAGUGUUCAGACUGCAUAAAAAUGCAUUUAUGAUAAAAAAUACAUAUAAGUUAAAAAUACAUACAAGUUAAAAAUACAUAUCAGUUAAAAAUACAAAUGAAUUAAAAAUACAUAUACAGUAUUAAAAAAAUAUAUUCGAUAAAAAUACAUAUAUGUUGCUAGAAAUACAUGCGAGUUGUAAAUUCAAAAUACAUAGUUAGAUUUCAGAUGUUGUGCAUAUAUACAAAUAAAGUAUUCAGAUUUAUCAAUGUUCAUGUAUCAAAUGUCUUAACACAAAAAAAUUAAGUUCAUUCUAGCUAAAAAUGCAGAAGAAUGCUUUAAGAAAUAAUUUAGAUUACAAAUACAUAUACAGUAAUCAAAUUUUGAUAUAAAAAUACAUAUGCAUUACACACAAUAUGUAUUUUUCAAUGCAAAAUAUCACAUGUAUGGAAUCAUUGCUAAAUUAAUAUGAAACUAUUUAGAGUAGUUGAGAUUUUAAUGCAAAAUGUGACAUCUGAAUUAUUUUGAGAUUUAAUAUAUUUCAGAUAUCAUUUUGAUUUAUAUGGUGAUAAAUAUACAUACGACUGUUAACAAUAAAUAUGAGUAAAAAAUACAUAUUCAAUGUUAAAAAUACAUUUGAGUUACGAAAACAUAUUUAGUGUUUAAACUAAAACUUAGUUGUAUCUACAAAAUGAAAACAUAGUGUUCAGAUUCUGCGAUAUAUACAAAAACAGUAUUCAAAUGUAACAAUGUUAAUAUAUCAAAUAAGGCAUAAAUGUAUUAACACAAAAACAUGAGCUCAUUCUUAUUAAAACUGUAGAUGAAUGCUUCAAAACAUAACGCAGAAAAACAAAUGUUCUAUUUACGAUAUUUUUUACAAAAAGCCUAUUGUGACCCUUAGCCCUACAAGAACUGCAUGAGUUGAUGCUCUUAUUUCCAAACAUAUCCUUGCUUGAUUUUUCCUGAUCCUUCUUUAGAGGUCUUUCUGGACGACGUUUGUACUUCGGAGGCAAUACAAUAUCACCAAGUAUGCUAUCUGAAAUUAUCCAGUCAUCUUUGUGUGGUAAAAAAUAGAUUGAAAUAUCAUAUAUCUUCAACACGGCUUUAGGCUUAUACAAAUCACAAUAGUAUGGCCCCUUCUGAAAAUUCUUAUUAUCCAACACCGCACAAGCAUGUGCACAUGGUAUCUCAUUGAGUUGAAAUUCAUUACAUGAGCAUGUUCUUUCUUUAAGGCAAACAAUGAAGUGUUUUUGUUUGUCUUGCACCGUGUACACAUAUUCUGUUGUUGGAAGAACCUGAUAUUAAAAAGAUGAAAAAGAAAUGUGUAAAUGUACUAAUACAAAAAGAUGGAAAAUGUAUUAAUUGAUAUGUUGUAACCACACAAGAAAUUAUAUUUUUGCUACAUAACAAUACAUUUACAUAUAUAUUUAAUACAAACAAAUUUCAAAAAUAUUAUUAUUUGUUAAUGCAAAAUAUUUUUAUUAUUUUAUAUACAUUACUGCAUAUGAAGUUUUAUGAUUCUGCAAUAAAAAUACAUAUGCAGAAUAAAUACUAUAAUACAUAUGCAGUGUUAAGUUUUUUCCAAUACUAAAAUACAUAUAUAGUGUUAAAUUUUUUCAAUAAUAAAAUGUUAAGUUUUUUCAAUACUAAAAUACAUAUGAAGUUUUCUGAUUCUGCAAUAAAAAUAUAUAUGCAGAAUAAAUAUUAAAAUACAUAUGUAUUUAUUGAUCUACUAAAUAUAUAUGCAGUGUCAAAUUUUUUCAAUACUAAAAUACAUAUGCAGUACAUAUAAUAUGAUUUUCAAUGAAUUAACAUUUUCUGUCAUAUAUGUUUUCAUUGAUUUAGAACUUAAUUCAAGUAAUUCAAUACAUAUGCUUUCAUAAGUAUAAAUGCCACAAAUAUAAAAGAUCAUACCGUCAUACGAGUGCUCAAAGUCUUGUUCUCUGUGAGUAUGUCAUUAAAUUUCCCAAUGAGUGUGGUGAAUGUAUGUGAAGCCUCCUACCUAUUUUCACAAUUUCAUUUUUCAAAAAGCAAUUGAACUUCUUCUAAAAAAAAUCAUAAAUUGGCAGUUCUCUAGCUAAUAGAAGUAUUCCAUUUAUUGACUCAACAAUGUUUGAGGUCAAAAUUCAUCCUUGGUGAACUGUUGCAUAGGACCUAGCCCACUUUUCGUAACCAGCCAAUUUUAAAUAUUUCUUUACUCUAAUAUCAACUGCCUCAACCUUUUUCAUUAACAUGUGGAAUUCUGAUUUUAAAUAUGCUUUGGUCAUUGUAUAAAAGAUUUUCAAUAAUGCAUCAUGUGACUUUCUGUAAAGUUUUUUCACGUUCCUCCAUAGAUGUCACAUACAUGCAUAAUGCGGAACAUCUUUGUACACAUCACCAACAACCUUUAUGAUGCUUGGAUUCCUAUCAGAGACAACACACAUGUUUUGUCUUUUCCUGUACGCUUUCUUUAGAUUUUUAAAAAACCAAGUCCAAGAGGCAUCAUUUUCAGAAUCAAUCACACCAUAUGCUAAAAGAAAUAUAUUCCCUAUAUUUAUAAAUAUAAUUAGUGCAGUCUGAUAUAAAUACAUAUAGUAACUGCAUAUGUAUAUAUUAUAACUACUGAUCAAUAGAACUGUUUAUUUUAUGAAAGUAAUAGUACCAAUUAUAUAUAAUAAAAUGUAAACGCACAUUACAACUAAACAUUAUCAAUUUUACAUGUUUCAUACAACAAACUUUGAAUAUAUAUGUAAGUUUAAACAGAUAUGUAUAUAUCAAAUAGACAUUUGUAUUUCACAGUGAUAUGCAGAAAUACAUAUCAAAACACAACCAGUUUUACAAUGCAAUAAAAUGAUACAAACCUACUCCAUCCAUCGUACAUACUGUUAUAAAUGCUCCAGUAUACAUUCCUCUCAGAUGACUAGCAUCAACAACUACUACAGGUCUACCAUGAUCGAAUCCUUUAAUGAAUAUACAUAGAGUGAUAAAUGCAUACAAGAACUCAUUCUCAUCCGCCUUCUUCAUUCUUAUAUGUGACUCAAGAUAGGUAUUAUUCAAAAUAUAUAAGUAGGUAAUUUCUCGUAAGAUGCUAAUGGCUUACCCCUCAACUCUUCUAACGCUCUUUCCUUGGCCCUCGAACAUAAAGUGUAUGUCAAAUUCAUACCAAUCUCUUCCUUUAUGUCAUUUUUUAUUUCGAUCGCACUGUAUUUUCGUUUGUGAUUUUUUAAUUUCUGUUUAACCAUACCACCUAUCAACAUACUAGUAGCAUGUACCUUUGGAUAGAUCUCUUGUCCUUCACCGAAAAAGUAUGUUGAGGUAUUAAUUCUCUUAUUCUAAACAUUUCAGAUUCUCCCAUACCGGAUGCACGCAUUAAAAAUUUGCACUUUCAUGAUUUGCAAAUCAAUGUAUAACUGCAUCCAACAUAAUUUAAUGCUAUCAAUAUACAUAUUCAAACUUAUUUUUAAACAUGAUCUAAAUGAUAUAGAAUGUACGUACCAUUUUUUACUUGACCUUUCACUUCACGUUUGAAUUUUUUUCUUAUUCUAUAAUCCGUCAUCACUGACUUCAAAAUCUUUUUCAUCAAGUAAACCUGGUUUUCCUCAAUAUGCUUGUGAUGUGGGUCUGAGAUAAUCACCUUAACAGUAUCUAUCUCAAAUACAUCUAAUGCUUGUGUAUCUUCAGAAACCACCAGAGCUCAUUCAUUAGUUGUAUUUAUCACUGUUCGCAAGUUGUUAAAGUUGAAUCUUCUUUCAGCAACACAUAUAUAUAAACUUGCAAAGUUGCUCCCUACAAUUUUCUCCAAAAUGCUUACAUACAAAGAAAGACAAUUCAAGUCUUGUAGCUAUUUUUUUUGUAAAAUAAACACCUUUAAAUUCAUAUCAUUAUGUAUUUCUAUCUACGUUGCAUUACCAGUGAUUUGAUAUUUAACUAGAAUACGUUUGCUGGUUAAGUCCACAUUUAAGUGAGAUGUCAAAAUAUUGUGCAGCUCAACGAAUGUUGUUGUUAUGCUCAACAGUAUAGCAUCAGUGACGUAUUCUUCGUAGUUUUUUUCAUACGUCCACCUUUCAGAGUGUUUCACAAGAACUAGUAUGUUUUCCAUUUCUGACUGAAUUAACCAAAAGUAAACAGAUAUACAUAUUUCAACUAAACAAAAGUUAACUAACUUAUACAACCAACAACUACAAUCGAAAAUACUUAUUCAGAAAUAGAUAUACUCUCACAUUCCGUCAAACAAAUCUCUGAUCAACAAUAAAUACAACCAAAUACAAAAAUUCCUUCAUCAAAUACAAUAAAAACAUAAAAAAGAUCUAUUCAUAAAUACAGUUGUACACUCAAUUUUCGACAAACAAAACUGCAAAAAAACAGAAUUUGAUGAGCAUUAAAAACAGAAUUUGAUUGUAUUUUUUCUAGAUGUUCAAAUUACUAUUGCAUUAAACAUAUCUCAAAUUUUUUUUCGAAAUAGUCAUAAUAGAUUAACAUAGAAGCAGCACUGAAGAUCAAUUCAAAAAAUUUCAGCUAAUCAGCACAAUUAGCUCAGUCAAAAAUACAAUCAAAAUAACAAAAAUCGCUUUGAAAUUAAUCUAUAAUAAAAAAGAAAUAUCGAUUUCAUACAUUCAACAACAGUGAAGGAUGAAUUUACAACCAAUAGAUAAAUUGGGAAAUAUUACCCAGGGAGAAUGUAACGUUGCUUGUCGAAAUAAAAGAAACUAAUUUUUCAAAUUGAAAUUGAUCAACGAAAGACUACUGUUCAAUUGUAGCAAAUUGAAGAUUCAAAGAUAUUUGAUUUGUUUUUGUUCUUUUUUUGGAAUAAUCACGUUCUGAAAUCGUUUUUUGAAUUUUGAAUUUGAUUGUUAGCAAAUAACGAAAAACGCGUUAGUAAUGAGGAUUCAAUGGGAUUGUAAUCAUCACAGUUAAUUAAAGAUAAUUUUACCAUAUAUAGUUGAGUUAAUUAAGGCGUAGUAAAAAUUAUAUAUAUUUGUAUUUUUAUAGCAACAGUUUGCAAAAAUACAAAAUACAACUUGCUAUAUUAUGUAAUUAUGAAACUCAUAAUUAAAGGGAUAAGUAUGUUAUUUCUGAAUUUUGCUCCAAAAAUUAUUAUAUGAUCCAUCAAUAGAAUUAUCAAUAUGGGUCAGGCAUGUUGGCCUGGUCUGACCCAGCCUGCAAUUUAAUAGAGUUGGACUAAAAUAUUUAUCUAAAAAUUAUACAAAUACACAAUUUAUGUUUUCAAUAUUAUAAAAAAUUCCAACUCUAUUAACAUAUUACAAAAAUCCCAACAUAUACACAGAAUGCAACGUAUAUGUUGGCUAUUUUAUGUAUAUUAAUAGGGAAAGNNNNNNNNNNNNNNNCUACUUUCAAAAGUAGGGUUGGUAUUUAUGUUAUUUAUCCAAUUUUUAUAGCCAAUUUUAGAACAGGGCUUUCUAUCCGAUCUGGAUAAGUCCUGUAGCCCAUGGGCUUGAGCAACAUAGGCUAGGCCGGUCUGUGGGCUGAACAAAAAUUAUUAAAAAUAGAAUACUACAAAUACCAAGAGGAGUUCAAACUUAUAAAUAUACUUAAACAAUCAUAAAAAAAGUAAUAUAAAUCUCUAAAUUUUAUAAGGAAUCAAAUAUGUUUGAUGAAGACAACGAGGUGGUGUUGAAUACAUCAUAAGUGUCAUGAAAGUUUUUUUUUUUGACGAGUUUAUUUUCACUUUUAAUGAAUUAAAUAUUGACUUUUUUUGGGUGUUUUUUCUGUGAUCUAUUGAAACAAAAUUAGAUUAAUAUUGUCAUUUAGCUAGCUAUAGUUACUCAUUAAUUGUUUUGUUUGCUUAUCAAUAUCUCUAUUUGAUUUGAACGGUAUUAUGUCAAAAGUUAUUUAGUUUCGUAAAUUGUUAGGAUUUCUUUUGUGAAUUUCAGACUUGAUUAACAAGAUGUAAUAUUAUAUUGUAAUUAUUUAUGUUAAUAAUAUUUAAAAAUUUAAAUUAAGAUUGUACAAAUAAUAUAUUUUUAAAAGUAGGCCUAAGGAGGCCCACAAUCCACAAAGUGAUGGAUCGGGCUUGCUGUCAUCUUGAUGAAUCAGUUCGGCGUGACCCGUCAAAUCCUAAAGAUCGUGUGGACUAGUCUGAAUAGGUCGAGCUGGCUUGUAUUGAUAACUCUAUCCAUCCAUAAUACGAAAAAAUAUUUUUUAGGGUUAUGUAUUACAAGUGUAUUUUUAUCUUUAGAUACUUUAUCUACAUAUUGCUAAUACAUGUAUUAUACUUGAUUUACCUUUUAUUUUAGUAUAUGAAAUAAUGAAAUAGUACAUAUAUUUUUGUAUAACUUAUACCAAUUUUAGUUAUGUAAUAGGUUCAUUUUCAAUAUUAAAAUUGACAUAAAAAAGCGAAAAUGAUAUUAAAGAAUACUGCUCUAUAUAUCAAAACUGCAUGACUUAUGAUAGAACCAAUUUGAAUUGAAAAAGACGAUAAUACCAAGAUUUUUUGUACUUUUUUACCGAUUUCAUAUGACAUAUUUGAAUAAUCUCACGUUAUAUAAGUAAUUUUUAUUAUUAUUAUUUUUAUAAUGAGUUAUAAAAUCCUUCUUCCUUUCAAUCAUGAAUUAUAUGACUGAUACUAUAACGAAACUGAUGACGAAAGAAAAAAUUGGGAACAUUAACCUUCUAAAAAGGGUUUGUUUAAUAUUCAUAAACAGCUCAGCAACAGUCAAUAGCCAGACAAGUGAGGUAUGAUAGGAUGAAUCACAAAGUUUGAAUAAAAUCAAAUUUAAAGCUAAACCUGAACGUUGACUAGAAGAUAUAAUGAAAUAUAAAAUUAAUCAGCAUUUUUUAUUUUUUAUUUUUAAAAAUCAAAAGAAAUAAUUCAAGCCCUUAUUUUAAUUUUUCUGAUUGUAAUAUAUGAAUUAGUUGUAUGAGGAUUAAUAUUCCGACCACAUUUGAUAUUUUAUCUGUUUUUCUUGUUUUAUUGAAUUUUAUUAAAGUUAUUGACACUGAUGUAUGAUUUUAUUUUGUUAGAAGCAUCAACAGGUGCCUUAAAAAAAAUUCUCCAUCACUUUACCAUGCCAACUUGUUGCCUUCUGUGCGUCUUCUUUUUGUUUUUGUUGCCUCCACUUCUUUAAUGGGAGUCUAGGUGAGAUGUUUCUAUCCCUAGCUACUUUGUCAAAUAUAUAUCUGUUCUAUUAUCUUCCUCGUGAAAGAUAUCGUCGCUCAAAUUAAUAGUAUAAGCAUUAGUUGAGUUAAAUCUUGACGCUAAAAACUCCGAUUUAUUCUUUUUUGUAAUUAUAUUUUUAGACACAAAUACUGAAGCUUUUGAACUUAAUUUGGCAUUAAAAAAAAAAAAAAAAGAUAAAACAUGCUCCUGUCAUCAACCAAAUCAACCCACUUAGAAGCAUUGAUCUUUUUUUUUUUUUUACUAAUCUCACAUAAUAUAACUAACUCUUUUUUUUAAAUAAAAAAAAUGAGUUGUACAAUCCUUCUUUCCCUCAAUUAUGCAUCAAACAAAAGUACUCCCUCCGUACCAUUUUAUAUGUCGCCAUUUGACGGGGCACGGAGUUUAAGAAAAAAAGAAAAAUUUGGUAAAGUUUAUCAAAUUAUUCUUUAUAAAAAAAAUGUGUCAAUAUCUUUUUUUUAAUUAAGUGGGAUCAAUAAGGGUAAAAGGGUAAUUAUAUCUUUAAAAAGUUGUCUAAUAAAAUAAGACGACACUUAUUUUGAGAUGAAUUAAAAAGAAAAUAAUGACACAUAAUUUGAGACAGAGAGAAUAUAAUAUUUGUAUCCAUCUGCCCAAUUGUUACAACAAACAGCUAGCCCCAACUAUAAACUAUCCACUUGGAUUGUGAUAUGUGUGAGUGUUUUAAUUUGUCACAUCAUAGUUCAAGCCUCUAGGUCUGAACUGUGCAUGCAUGCACUUCUAUCUAGCGGUGGACAUGGAAUGAUACGAUCUAAUAUCAGAAAUAUCGGUUGGUUUGAUAUUUUAAAGUUUGAUUUUUUAAUAUUUUAUAAUAUAAUAAAUUGAUAAUCAUAGUUUGAUUAGCUGUAACAUAUGUAUACUUAUAUAAUAGAGAAUUAUGACUUUAAUUUUUCAAGAAACAUCUUAAUUAUAUCAUAUUAACACCUUAUACAUAUAAAAAUAUUCAAAAGAAAGCACAUGUAAUUUCCUUUCAAAUACUAUAAUAUCAAAUUUGCAAUAUAAAAUAUGUUGACCUCGAAAUGAUUUCUAUAUCUAUAUAUUGUACCAUGUCCGUUCAUGCUUCUAUCAAAGGAGAAUUAGAUUUAUAUAAUCUCAACAAUAUCUUUCAUCAAAUCAACCAUCAAAUCAACCGUAAAUCAACAAUAAAUGUCUUUUAGACACAUUUAAAAAAUUUUCAAAUUCAAGUCAUAUUAAUAUUUCUCUUUCUUCUUUUUUUUCUUUCUAUUUUCACCCUUUCUUGAUUUGAAUAGACAUAAUGAUGUGACUUUUAAUUUGGUCUUCAUCGAUAUUUAUGCUCUUCAAUUUUAUAUGUAUAUAAAUAAAUAUUUAAAUUUAUAUAAAAUUAAAUAAAUAGUACAAUUUAUGUGAUAAUUCACGUGAAAUUAUAACGUAAGUGUGAUGUACAUAUUACAGAGGAUGCAUGCGUCAAUUUUUAUCACUUUACAUAAGUAUUUACUUAUACACAUUUAAAAGUAAAAAAAAAAAACAUAUUGGAUAAUUGAGUCCAAAUUAAAGAGAAUGGUCAUGAAUUAUACCUUUUUUAAUAGUAUAAAUAAUAUAAAUAUCAAUUUUUUUGGAAGUAAUUACACUCUCUUCUAUUUUUUUAAUUACUACUUUACUCUCUCUCCCUAUUAAUAUACAUAAUAUAGCCGAUAUAUACAUAACAUUUUAUGUAUAUGUUGAAAUUUUUAUAAUAUAUUUAAAGAGUUGAAAUUGUUUGUAAUAUUAAAAAUAAAUUGUAUAUUUGUGUAAUUUUUAAUUUUUAAUAUGGGUAGAUGAGGACAAAUUGGAGUAAUAGCUAGCUUUGAUAAAGAAACAAAAUUGGUCAAAAAUUACAAAGUAAAUACACGUGAAUAUCACAUGAAAAGUAUGUGUCCUUUUUCCCAAUAUCUUCAAUUCAUUUAUUAUUUGGCCACGUGAACACUUCAUUCAGUUCGAAGAACUUUGGCUAAAAGUUAAAACUACAAAUGGGACACACUCCGUAAAUUUUUGGUUCUGGGACAACUUCGUUUAGGGGUUGUUUGGUAGAGUGCAUUGGCAAAAUUAAUAUAUGUAUUAAUUAAUGUGUAUUAUUAAUAUCUUAUUUGAUAUAACUUAAUUAAUGUAUUAUAUAUUUUAUUGUGUAGUAAGAUGUGUAUUACAAAUAUCAUCCAUUUUUUAUAUAUUAGUAAUGCAAAGCCUUUAUACAUGUAUUAACUUAUUAAAUGACCUUAAUACCCCUCAAUUUUCCUCUCAAAAUAUUUUACUAUUUCUUUUCCCGUCAUUUUAAUUUGCAAUAAUGAAUCUUUUCAAAACAUUUCACAAUUUUUUUCCCACCAUUUUAUUCUACAACAAUGAAUAAUUGAUUUAAAUAAUUAUAACAUAUUUUUGUUUUGCUUCGAGGGUCUUUAAAAAGAUUAAAAAAAAUUAAGACUAUUUCUUAAUUUUUCGUGUUAUAUUUUAUUUUUCUUUCGACUAUGUUAAUCCGUUGGUAUAAUAUUUUAUGCGUAAAGACGAAGGUCUUGCAAUUAAUCUGAAACUUUUAUAUACUAGUUCAACAAUACUAAUUAUAUUUGAGAUGACAAAAAAAUUUUGUUGCAAAAAAAGUGUGUAAAAUCAAAGAAGAGUAUUUUUGUAAACAAACAUUUCUUUUAUAGAAAUUAUAUAAGAUGUAUUAUUUCUUCUACAUCAAACUAAACAAUAUAUAAGAAAUAAUACAUACAUAACUAAUACAAGUAUUAGUAUUACUAAUAUACUAUAUUUUGCAUUAAUCUUAUACAUUCUUUCAAAUGAUCCCUUAUUAUACACUAGAAUACAACUUGUCACUUAAAAUGUCACAAUGAAUGUUUCUAGAAUUUUUUUAUUUAAAUUUUUUUAAAAUUCAUAUUAAAACAACUAGUAAAUGUUAUUAUAGGGAAAGCCAAGAAAAAUGGUAGCACUUUUUACAAGAAAGAGAUUACUCUUUAAUAUCCUAAUAUUAUUCAAAAUCUAAAUUUGACACCAAAAAAAUCCCGUGCAGCUCUUAGUUCUUACUCCUAAUAAUUCAUGAUAAUAAAAUAUUCAAGGUUUACAUAAUGUGUUAAUAUUGACAAUAGUAUUGAAUUUGUCACUUUAAAAGAUAGUGAAUUUGGAUCCAUGAUUUUCAACUCCCAAACACUUUAGAAAUUGUUCGAAAAAACAUGUGAUAAGAGAAAAAAAGACUAAACAUAUGGAGGAUUAAAAAAAGACUUUAAAAAUAUAUGGGACGGAGAAUUAGUGUUAGUAGUUGUUCAUUCAACAUAUAUAAUGCAAAUCACAAUAAACACAAAAUUGGGUGUUUUGGUCAAACGAAAUCAAUUAUUAUUUAAAUAUUGUUGUAAUAUUGAUUAUAAUAUUUAAAAAUUAAGGAGUUUUAAAAUAUAUAAGAAAAAAAUAUAUUAAAAAUGAAUAUUGAUAGAUUUUUUUUUAAUGUGAGAAAAGGAGUCUUAAAACAUAUAUGAUAAGACUAAAAAAAGAAAAUAUCAAUUUUUUUCCAUCAAAACAAAAAAUUAGUACUUAACUUAGACGUGGAUUUAAUAUAUGUAAGAGUAAAAAGGAAAAUAUCAAUUUUUUUCCAUCAAAACAAAAAAAUAGUACUUUGUAUUUAACUAUGGCAUGAAAUGGUGCUUUCCAUGGAAAUUAACAAAUAGCAAUAGACGAUUAUGGACAAUUUUUUAAAAGUAUUCUUUAAUUUAGGAAAUCCUUCAACUAUUACUUUUUUUUAGUACAUCUACAUUAUUACCUUCAUUAAAAGUUUUUUAAAAUAGAUAAAAUUAUCUUUUUAUUAUUUUAUUUUAUUUAAUUAUAUUAAUAAUAUUAAAUAUUGAUUAUAAUUAAUGAAUCUAAGGUAAGAUGUAUAAGAAUAAUUAAGGUAGACUUCUUUUUUAUUUAUAAAUCAUAUAUGUCCUAGUUAUUUUAUUGGAGAAAAUUGAAAGUGUUGUAGUAUAAACUAUAUUUUGGUUACAUAUAAGUGUCCUUUUUAGGCAAAGUGUUUUAGAAAUUCUUUUUGUGUAUGAAUCAUACACGUCUUAAUAAUUCCUCGAAAAAAGUAAAGAAGUGUCGUAGGGUCUUAUUUAAUUACUAGUUUAGGUGUAUACGGCUCGCGCGUGUACCUCACUUUAUUGAGUUCACACGUUAUACUAAAUAAGUUUUUUGUUAAAUAAUAAAGAUGAAUACAAUAAUUAAAUUCAACAUCUUUUGGAGAAUUUAUUUAAUUAAAUCUAACCUUUACAAAAAAAAUUGUCAAAGUCGAUCGACAUUCAUCUACCACCUGUAAACUGCAACAAAACAAUACGAUGAUAGAAACAUCAAAACAAUAUAAUUAAGUCUAACCUUUAUACAAAUUUUUUUCUCUAAGUCGUCCGACACUCAUCUACCAUUGUAAACUAUAACAGAAUAAUAUGAUAAUAAAAAUAUCAAAAUAAUACAACUAAAAUUAAUCUCUACACAAAAAAAUUCUCAAAAUAGAGAUAUAAAAACAAUACAAUUAGACCUAACCUUUACCUACAAAAAUUUCUCAAAGCCGAGUAAAUUAAUUGAAUGAAAAUAAAGAAAAUAUAUAUGCACACACGUUGAACUGUAUUAUUAAGCAUCUACCAAUCUAGAGCAUCAAUCAUAUUUUUUCAAUAAGUAAAUCGAUUUCUUCUCUAGUUUAACGUGCAUCUCAAUAUAUUUAUAAAAGUAUUUUCUUAAUACAUUCCUAUUUUAAUAGUAUUUCUCUAUCCUAUUUUUAGGAGUAUUUUUCUAAUUAAUCACUACAAAAAAAAUAUUAACUAAUUCUCUUUUUAUAUAUUUUAGGAUUCAGGUUAAUAUAAUAUAAAAAAGAAAGUCAAACUAUUACCCAUUAAAAAUAUAGAAAUGCUUUUUAUACGAAAUUCCAACUUUUGUACUUCUUUUUAUUUUUAUAAGAGAUAAUGCAUCCCUCCGAACUUGUCUUUCCAACUUACUUUAUCACUUAAACUAACAUUUCAUUUAUUUACCCCCUUAACAUCUUUGGAGUGAAUUAAUUUCACCCCUUAAUAUAUAAUUCCACUCUCAUGAGCGAGAGUACAUCACACUCACUGACACGUCAGCGCCACGUAAAUAAAGUAUUUUUUUUAUAUUAUAUAUAUAUAUAUACAUAUAUAUUUACAUAUUUUUAAAUAUAUAUAAAAUAUUUUAAAUAUAAAAUAUUUUAAAUUUUAAAAAUAACCCCAUCCCCCAUUUUCCAUCUUCUUCAUAACCCCCCAUCCCCCCCUCUCCCGUCCACCACCACACCUGCACAUACCCCGUCCACCCCAGUUCACCCCCACACUGCCAUACCUACACACACCCUCAUCCAUCUCCGUCCAACCCCAACAUCCACAACUGCACACACACGCCAUAAUUUUUGGCGAAUUUUCGUCGAAAAACUCUAUUACCACCAUAAAAAAAUACCAUAAAAUAGUGAUAAAAAAACCCAACACCUGGUAAAUUAGAUCAAAUCAACACCAAAUUCUCUAAAAUCAACAACCAAACAUUCAAAUCAUGUCAAUUUUUUAAUUUUUAAAUUCAAUUUCAUUUCUUUUUUUAUUGGGGAUGAAGGAGGAGAAAUUGGAAGUAGGGGUGUGAUUUGGUAAUUGAAGAAGUAAUUGGGGUUAGAUUUAGGAGGGGGGUGUUGGUGGUGGUUGUUGGCGGGUUUGGGAGGGACUAGGAUGGGGUGGGAUGGCCGGGGUGGCGGGGGGAGGAGUGUUAGAAGAAGGAGAGAAAUAUAUAUGUAUAUAUAUAUAGAUAUUAGUAUUUUUUAAAAAAAAUUACCGUUCACGCAUUUCUUUUUCUUUUUUUUUUUUUAAAUGUCAUGUCAGUAUAAGGUGUGAAAAUAAUUCAGUUGAAAGAUGUUAAGGAAGAUAAAUAAUUAUUCAUAAAAUUUAAGUACUAAGUGAGUUGGAAAGAUAAGUUUAGAAGGUUUUGAUGUAUUAUCUCUAAAAUUAAAAACAAAAGAAAAAUGUGAAGCCAUAAGAUGACCUUGACCUUCCAUUCUAAUUACCAUACCUAGGAGAAAAGGCUAGAACCUGCCCUAUGGGAUAUUUAAUUUCCAUUUCUUGUAGGAAAUAUUAUGUGCAAAAGUGCCCAAGUUUUCAAAAGUUACCUUCAAUAAACAAAGAUGUAAAAGAACCUUUUUCCAUAUAUUUUAGGAGUCUUUAAUUCAAAUACAUUUCUUUCUAUAUAUUUUAGGAGUUCAGUUAAUAUUAUAAAUAUAAUUAAAUAAUAAUUAUGAGAAAAAUAGUGAAAAGACAAUUUUGUCAAAAGCAAAGACUUUUAAUAAAGGGUAAAAAGUUCAAAUCAUUUUUCUAAGGAUUUUUACACUUUUAAUAUAUUAUAUUAUAUAUAGAUUAUAGAUUAUAGAUUAUAGAUAUAGAUAUAGAUAAUACUUAAUAUUAAUUAUAACUAAUGAGUUCAACAUAUCUAUCUAUAGUAUAUUAAAAGUGUAAAAGAUAUUAGAAAUGUUGUUUGAACUUUUUUUUUCCUUCAUUGAAAGUAUCUGCUUCAGACAAAAUUUUCUUUUUACUAUUUCUGCUAAUAUUAAGAAUUGAAAAAUAAUUAAGUAUUUAUAGUAAAACAUUUUCUUAUUAGAAGUUAUCAAAUUCAUCACAACUAAUUUUUUUUUCAUUAGUUUAAAAUUAAUUAAAUAUUUAUCAUAAUACUUCUCCUUUAGAAGUCAUCAGAAUUCAUGAAAGCUAAUAUUUUUUUCAUUAAUUUAAGAAUUCUAAAUCAACUAAAUUUGAUUUUAAGAAGAUUUAUCUAGAAAUAAAUAUAAAAGCGUUUAAAUAAUAAAAAUUUAGGAAAUACCAGUUUUUGCUUUAGACAAAAUCGUCUAUUCACUAUUUUUUUUUAAUAUUUAAAAGUUGAAAAUUUAUUAAAUAUAUUUGUGGUAAAACCUUUCCUUAUUAGAAGUCAUCGGAAUUAAUGAUAACUAAUAUUUUUUUUAUUAAUUUAAGAAUUCUAAUCAACUAAAUUUAAUUUUAAAAAGAUUUAAAAAAUCUAUAAACCUACAUCUACAAUCUACAUCUACAAUAUAUUAAAAAUGUGAAAACUCAUAAAAAAAUAAUAGUUGUUAUGAAAUAAUAAAGAAUAAAUAAGAAGAGUAGAGAAAGAAUAGAAAGUAAUUCUUAUUUCUCUUGCAGGAUGAAUUACAACGAAUAAAACCCCUUUAUUUAUAGGGGAAAACUAAACUUGGGGAUUUGUAACUUUUUCAUAAAUAGACAUGCACAAUAUAUGGUAAAGUAGAUAUUCACUAUAUAUAGUAAAAUAGACAUUUACUAUAUAUGGUACAUUUAUAACACUCCCCCUUGAAUGUCUAAUUGAUAGAUAAUACGCAUAUAUGUUGCUUCAUUAAAAACCCUACAAGGAAAACCCAGUGGUAUAAAACCUCGUAAGGCAAAAAGAGUACAGCGCGUAUUAACUCCCCUUAAUGAGAACAUUCUUGAACCUUUGCAUUCCGAUCUUGUGCACCAUCUUCUUGAAAGUUGCAGUUGGAAGAGACUUGGUGAAUAAAUCAGCCACAUCUACAAUAUAUUAAAAGUGUGAAAACUCAUAAAAAAAGUAAUAGUUGUUAUGAAAUAAUAAAUAACAAAUAAGAAGAGUAGAGAAAGAAUAGAGAGUAAUUCUUAUUUCUCUUGAAUGAUGAAUUACAACGAAGAAAACCCUUUUAUUUAUAAGGGAAAACUAACCUUGGGGAUUUGUAACUUUUUCAUAAAUAGACAUUCACAAUAUAUGGUAAAGUAGGUAUUCACUAUAUAUAGUAAAGUAGACAUUCACUAUAUAUGGUACAUUUAUAACACUCCCUCUUGAAUGUCUAAUUGAUAUAUAAUACACAUAUAUAUUGCUUCAUUAAAAACCUUACAAGGAAAACCCAAUGGGAUAAAACCUCUUAAGGGAAAAAGAGUACAACGCGUAUUAACUCCCCUUAAUGAGAACAUCCUUGAACCUUUGUAUUCCGAUCUUGUGCAGCAUCUUCUUGAAAGUUGCAGUUGGAAGAGACUUGGUGAAUAAAUCAGCCACAUUAUCACUUGAACGAAUCGGUUGUACAUUAAUAUCACCAUUCUUUUGGAACUCAUGUAUAUAGAAAAGCUUUGGUGAAAUGUACGUCGUGCUAUCUCCUUUUAUGAAUCCUCCCUUAAGAUGUGCUAUGCAUGCUGCAUUAUCUCUGUAUAAAACUGUGAGUACAUUGUCACAUUUCAAAUCACAUUUUUCUCGAAUGAGAUGUAUCAUGAACCUCAACCACACACAUUCUCGGUUUGUUUCAUGAAUAGCUAUUCUCUCAACAUGAUUCGAUGAAGUGGCUAUGAUAGACUGCUUUGUAUAUCUCUAAGAUAUGACAAUACCACCACAUAUAAACACACAGCUUGUUUGAGAUCGAGCUUUAUGUGGGUCAGAUAAGUACCCAACAUCAGCAUGUCCAAUAGAACGGAACUACAAUCUUGCUAACAAAUUAACUGAAAAGGCUAUCUCAAGCCUUAUAGUAUUUGCAAGAUAUAUGAGUACACCAAUUGCACUAAGAUAUGGUACUUCAUAACUAAUUCAAAUUGAUAUAUUUCACAUUUCAGCAAAUAAUGUAUUGCUUUAGAAAACUCUGCAAGAGUUUCAAUAAUAUUCAAACCAUCAACUUAUUCCUUAUAAGGAUAAUAAAUAAGUUUCUCGAAAACUUUAUAUGGUUUAGGCAUUCUGAAUCCUUUAGGGAUUUUCAUCUAGAUUUCUGUCAAGUGACAAUAUUCAAUAUUUCACGUGUGACAUCUUCGAGUGGACUGCAAAUCAAAUAAGUUUUAUGUUUAUCAAGAUGCAUCUUUUCAUGUCACUUAAUAAGUGUUUCUACGUCAUCAUGCUUAAAUUAACGUAGAAUUCAAAUCCUCGUAAUCUUUCACAAUAUUGCUCCAAUAUUGUAUCAAAUAUAUUGAUGAUAUUUCAUUUCGUAUCGGUUCACAGUGUGACAUAACAUUUUGAGAUCUCAUCACUUUAUUAUUUUCAGGUACCUGAACCUCUCAUAAGGUUUCAUGAAGUGUUAUGUCGUAUGCUCUUCAAGAGUACAUUGCCUUCUUAUUAUGAUUUUUUGCUCAUUAUCCUUUAUAAGAAUUAUUUCAUUUGGAAUCGAUUGGUCUACCACACUUCAUAUAUGCAUAGACUUUGUCCUUUAGGGACACAAAAUAGGAGCACUUGUAGCUUAAAUAUGAGAUAUGCAUUCGGCAUUUUACUUGAACUAUCUUUUGAAUGAGGAUAUGAUGAUAAUUCCUAAUAUAUUUCAUAGCCGCUUAUAAUCUCCCCCUUAUGUUAGGAAAACUAACAUACAUCCUCCAUUUUAUUUGAGGAAUCCAUCUUUGUGCAUCAUGGUAUAUUCAUUAAUCGUAUAUUGCACAUUAAAACUAUUAGAUGAAAUAGUUGGUUCUGACCUUAAACCAAUUGGGAGGGAAGAAAUAAUCAUAAUUUAUUGGUCUAAUGCAUACAAGUGUUAUUGUAUGCAACAUAUCAUAUUUCAGACCAACACAUGAAGUUUUGUUUUUAUUAGCAAUGAUUUAGCUAUUUAUCGAAGGCAUUCAAUGUCAAACCAUCGUCAUCAAGAUGAAUUGUCUUGAUUCUAUAAUCUAAAAGUUAUACUCUUAACUCAAUUUUAUCAAGCAAGCAACUUUAUGAAUGUCAAACUGCAGGUUGACAAUAAAUUACACAGUGAUCAUCUUAUUGAUGCAUCUUAAUAGAUCACAUGAUAGGUGAACGGGCCCUUAUUCACCCUUUAUACUUUUCAGAUUUUAAGGAAUUCAAUCCCAAAAUUAAUUGGUCCAACCAACUUAUCAUGAGAACAAACAACAUUAAAAGUAAUGAAGAAUUUUCUAAUUCUUCAAUCUAUGUUCAAUACUCAGUAUGCAUAUCUUUGGGAUAUCGCAAUCGUUCAUGUCAAUUUAUGAACUUUUAUUAGAGCAAAUUCCAAGUUUACCAUGACAUGUAAACUUUUACUUUAAUAAAUUUUAGUUUUACUAUUACAUGAAUAAAUUUCAGAUUUUACUUUAGAAUUAGAUUUCAAAAUAACUCUUCUCAAUUAUUUUGCCUCUUACGGAGGUGGAUUGUGAUUUCCUUACAACCACGAGCACGUUCAAAUUUAUAUACAGUCACAUUUACCCCCAGGGUCUAGAUCUGUAUUUAUAAUAAUCAAAAUUCUCAUUCCCGAAGAAUAGAAUAUAAUCGUUCCUUAGACAUAUCAAUUUAUGAUAGCUUAGAACCUUCUCUUUCAAGAUAUUGUUAGUUCAAGAGCAAAUCGAGGCAUGCAUAUAAUGUAGAGAAUUUUUCUCUUAACAUAUCUUUCAGAGUACAGCAUAUAUUGCUACCACAUUCACUUUAAAAAUGGAGCAAAUUGUCAUCUUUCAGACUAAUCAUAUAGUGCUACCGCAUUCACUUCAAGAAUGGAGCAAUUUGACUUAUCAUAUAUUGCAACCAUAUUCACUUCUUGGAAUGGAGCAUAUUCAGAGGGAUAGAUUCAUGUCUAUUUAUCAAAAAUACAUUAUUUUGCCUUAGUCAUCGUUAUAUUAUCAAUAUGGUGUAUUGAGAUUCAAACUCAACGUCUUAUUCAUAUAAAAGCGUCUUAUGCAUAAAUCGAUGGGACUUGAACCCAUGCAUGCAUUCAUAUCGUACUUUUGGGAGGAUGACCAUCUUCAAGUGGUCAAAUAUUUCUUUUAGGCUAUUCCACAAAACAAGUGGAUCCUUAGUAGUAAGGUAUUCAAUUUUCAGAAUUUCGUCAAGAUGAUGACGCAACAAAAUCAUAGCCUUAGCAUGAUUUUAAUGAGAUGUUGUAUUUUUUUCUUAUGGCGUCUCCAAGACCCAUAACAUAUAAGUGGAUUUCAGCAUUCAAUACUCAUUAAAGGUAAUUUUUACUCGAGGCAACGAACUCAGAUUUUGUAAGAUUAUUAGUAAUAUGAAAAGAAAGAAAAUAAUACCUUAGCCUUCAAAUUUGAUACGACAGAGUCUCGUACUGAUAGCGUGUUAUGAAAUAAUAAAGAACAAAGAAGAAGAGUAGAGAGAGAAUUGAGAGUAAUUCUUAUUUCUCUUGAGGGAUGAACUACAAUGAAGAAAAUCGCUUUAUUUAUAGGGAAAAACUAACCUUGGGGUUUGUAACUUUUCCAUAAAUAGACAUACACAAUAUAUGGUAAGGUAGGUAUUCACUAUAUAUGGUAAAGUAGAAAUUCAAUAUAUAUGGUACAUUUAUAACAAUAGUUUAAAACUAACUAAAAUUUGAUUUUUACAAAGUUGCCCAAAUAUUAGUAUAGCACGUGUUACUACUAUUUAUGAUGUGUAUUGUUUUUGCUUCGUAUAGAAUUAAAACUUGAUUUAUUUACUUUACAAAACUGCUUUUUAUUUCUUCUUUUUUGUACUUCUUUUAAAAAAUCAAAGUUGGUUUGGGAUUUUUGCUUUUAAAUAAGUUAAUAUUAUGCAUUAUUUAGGUUGGGACUUUUUAUUAAGUCAAUUAUACAUUAUUUAGAUUUUUUGAAGUUAAUUAAAGUUCUUAUUUCAUCUACAAGAACUCACAGUAUUUAAUACUUCUAAAUCAAUUAAAAUUUCACCUUAUAUAAAAAGAACUUUUACAACUCUGUUUAAGUGAUAUUUUCAAUCAAAUUUUAUAAGAAACAUAAACAUUGGCUAUUUUAUUUUUUAUUUUCUUCUUAUUUUGAUUUUGAUUCAAGUCAUAUUAUUACGUUCAUUGUCAUCAUCAUAGUUUUUUUUCUUUAUUUGAUUUUCAGUUCACUUACUUCUUUCUCUUUGUUUUUACUUUUCCAGGUUCCAAAACAUGCGUAGGGUAAAAAUAAGUUUAUGUAUAGAAUUUUCUUAUUCAAUGAAAUCUUGAUAGUAUCUAUGAUUAAGACAAUAAAUUUGUUUGUGAUUUAAGGUAAGUUUUUAAAAUUUUUAGUAUAUUUUUAAAGUAUACGAUAAAUAAAUUAUCAUCUAUUGUUGAUAAAAAACUAUUAAUUGAUAAAUAUUUUGUGAUUUUUAUUUUUAAUGACUCAUGUGCAAUUAAUAAUUUAAAAUUAACUUAUUUGCAAUUUUAAAAUCCUAAAAUAUAUAGUAAGAAAGACAAUAUUAUCAAUAGUGUAGGUAGAUUUUACGUGAAAAAAGAACUCCUAAUUCUAUUGUUUCACGAACUCUAUGUGUACGCUGCAUAUGUUUAAGCUCAAAUCUGAGAUGUCAAAAUACGUUUCUUAAGAUUAUCCUUCAAACCAGUCCCAAACCAGUCAAAAAGUUGUCCACAACAAUAACCUGCACAAUUAUAAAGAAGUUUCUCACUGCAUAAUAAGGUGGAUCCAUAAGGGCAUCAUUCUAUUAGCUGAUUUUAUUUUACUCUAUUAAGCAUUCACUCGGAAGACCCAUGAAAACACUAAAAGUAUUUCCAUACACAAACCCUAGGGGUGGGGUGGGGGGGAUAAGAAAUAAAUAAUAGGAUUAUAAGUUAGAAGAUACCGAUGAGCCGAUAGAUGAUUGAAAGUUAGAACAAGAAGUUACCUCAUUCUUCUCAUUCUCCAUCAGUUUGUCGACUAGGUGAGAACCAAUAAAUCCAGCUCCUCCAGUAACCAAAAGUUUCAUUUUAGAAUGCAACCAGAAAUAAAAUAUUUUAGCAGACGUGGAUUAAUCGUCUUUUCACUAUUUUUCUAAUAUUUAAGAGUUUGAAAAUUAAUUAAAAUACUUAUAGUAAACAUUUUCUUAUUGGAAGUCAUCACAAUUAGUUACAACUAACACAUUUUUCAUUAGUUUAAAAAUUCUAAAUCAACUAAAACUGAUUUUAAUAACCAUUGAAAAAUAUAGAAAUAAAUAUGAAAUCAUUAGCAUAAGAAAAUACAAGAAAUAUCAAAUUUGUAAAAGUUUUAAGUAAGUAAUCAAAGAUUUUCUAAAGAUAUAAAUUUAAAAAUAAGAAAAGAUUUUAAAUAUAGAAAAAAUAAAAAAAAUAGCCGUAAUAUAAAUAUGAUUUAAACCGGUGCGUCUCUCUUAGCCCCUAGUAGCAAGGAAAAGAUGUACUGCAUGACAAACGCAAAAGUACCAUUAACCACUUGAAACUUCUACGCGGUAAAAUAUAUAUGGGCUUACAGUAUCAUUAAGAACCUUCGUAAUACACAAAAUCAUGUAAUUUCAAAUCAUCAAAAGUUACAUGUGCGAAGCAUGUGCGGCUAAACUAGUAUACUAGACAUCAAAGGGAUAUCUGUUAUUUUUCUAUCUCAGUUUAUGUGACAUAAAUAUAAUUGAGAUAAUUAAUCAUAAUAAAUUAAAUUUUUUAUUAUUAUAAUUUAUAAUUUUUUUUCUAUUCCAAUUUAAGUAAUACUAAUAUAAUUUCGAGAGUCAAUCGAAUAUUUUAUAUUUUUUAUAUUCUAAAGUUGUUAAUUAUGUAAUUUAUAAAGCUUUUAACAUAAUUUUUUAAUAAGAUAUUAAUAUUACUUCUCUGUCUCAGUUUACGUGUCUUCUUAUUUUUAAAUAAUAUUAGUUUAAGUAUACGUGCCUUGCGCGUGUACCUUACUUUAAUGAGUUCAAACAUUACACUAAAUACAAUAUUUAUUUAAAUAAUAAAAAUAAAUAUAAUAAUUAAAUUUAAUAUCUUUUGAUUAUGUAAAUAUGGAGAAUUUAUUUAUUAAACUUAACCUUUACCGAAAAUAUUUUUAAAAGUCGAUCGACAUUCAUCUACCAUCUGUAAAUUGCAACAAAAUAACACAAUGAUAGAGAUAUCAAAAUAAUACAAUUAAAUCUAAUCUUUACGCAUAAUUUUUUUUCCAAAGUUGUCUGACACUCAUCUACCACCUGUAAACAGUAACAAAAUAAUACGAUAAUAGAGAUAUCAAAAUAAUACAACUAAAACUAACCUUUACAUAAAAAAAUUUCUCAAAGCCGACAAAUAUUUAUCUAUCACCUGUAAAUUGCAACAAAAUAAUACGAUAAAAGUGAUAUAAAAAAUACAAUUAAACUUAAAUUUUACACACAAAAAUUUUUCAAAGCCGAUCGAGAUUCAUCUACGAACUGUAAAUUACCACAAAAUAACAAACUAAUAGAGAUAUUAUGAUAAUACAAUUAAACCUAGCUUUUACCUAGAGAAAAAUUCAAAGCCGGCCCAUAUUCAUCUAGCAUCUAUAAAUUAAAAUGAAAUAAUAAGAUAAUAAAAAUAUCAACCGACAUUCAUCUACGACUUGUAAACUAUUUAAAAAAAAUAAUAUAAUAGUGAUCACAAAGCUUCGAUCUUGAUCCAACUAAUUCUUGUCUGAACAAAAAUUUUGACCCUAAAAAAUGAUUUUAAAUGAAAACAAAGAAGAUAUAUAUAUAUAUAUACUAGUUUAACGUACAUCUCAAUAUUUAUAGAAGUAUUUCCUUAAUAGAGUCCUAUUUUAGGAGUAUUUUUCUAAUCGAACAGUAGAAAGAAAAAUAUUAAUUAAUUCUCCUACCAUAUAUUUUAGGAGUUCCAUAUAUUUUAGGAAAUCUAAUAGAAAAUAAAAUAUUAAUUAAUUUUUCUACCAUAUAUUUUAGGAGCCCCAUAUAUUUUAGGAAGUCUAGUUAAUAUAAUAAAAAUAAUUAAAUAAUAAAUUAAAAAUAGUGAAAAAAUAAUUUUGUCUAAAGAAGAGUCUUCUAAUGAAGGCAAAAAGUCCAAAUCUCUUUUCUAAGAGUCUUCACACUUUUGAUAUAUUAUUAUAUGGCUAUAUAGAUUAUAGAUAUAGAUAUAUUACUUUAUGUCUUUUUUGUUCCAUCGUAAUUUAUAUGACACUAAUAUAUUUUUGAUAGUCAACUGAAUAUUUUAUGUUGACAUAUCAUUUUGUGUCUAUUUUACUUUUUUUAUGAAAUAUUAUUAAUUUUUUUAUGCUUAAAUAACCAUAAAAAUUAAUUAGGAGUGAUAUAAUAAUAUCACGAUUGAAACAGCGAAGCAGACAUGUCUUAAAUGACUUAUAAUAACUAAUAAGAAGUGAUAGAACAAAAUUACUAUAAAAAAUACUUGUGAAAAAAAUUUAAAUGAAUCUCAUAUAAAAUAUCAAGUUAAUUUAAAACAUCAAGAGUUGAUUUAUCAUUUUAUGUCUAAUUUAUCCUUUUUAUUAAAUAUUAUUAAUUUUUUAAUACUUAGGUGACUUAUAAUAAUUAACUAAAGGUGAUAUAGUAAAAUUACGAUUGAAGCAGUGAAGAAGGUAGCAUAAAACAUCAAGAGUUAAUUUAUCAUUUUAUUUCUAUUUUAUUUUUAAUUAAAUAUUAUUAAUUUUUGAAUACUUAAACGACUUAUAAUAAUUAAUUAGGAAUGAUACAGGAAAAUUAUGAUUGAAGCCGGUAGCACAAUCAAAUAUAUCGACCUCGUGCCUGCUUGUUGCCCUUUAUUAUUAGUAUUAGUAUUUUAAUAUUUUCCUCAAAAGUUUAUGUUGAUUUUCUUUGGUCAUGUGUGUCGACAAAUGUAGAUUCCUAUAUAUUUUGAUAAUUUUUCAUAAGAUAUUUGAUAGCUAUUUUGAGGCUCGAUUAAUUCAAUUGAGCUGAAAGGUUUUACUACUAAAAAUAAGAAAUACAAAACGCUUAUAAUUUUACUACAAUUUUUGGUGGUGCAUUGACUAAUAUAUGAGCAGUAGUCUAAUUUAAAUUGUUAGAAAAAAUAUAUUUCUAUUAUUUAAUUAUAUUCAAAAUAUGCUUACUCAUAUGUUAGGUCUGAUUUUUUUUCACGAGUCAAAUAUACAUAAAAAAAAUUUGAUAAUGUUUGUCGAUAAGAUUUGAUUUCAAAAUUUCUACCUAUUCUGAAAUCAUAUUGAAGUGUGUGAGCAUCUCAAUCUCCUAUUCCAAAUAUAUUUUUUUUCAUUACUAGUAUUAGUACCCGCAUGAUGCGCGGUCGAUAUUAAAUGAAAUUAAUUAUAAAUAUUAUUAUCUUAUUGAUUUUAUAUAAUAAAAAAUUUAUUCAAUAUCAUUCACAUAUUUGAAAUUAAUAAAUUUAUGCAAUACGAAAAAUAAUUAUUAAAAUAUUAAAUUUAAUAUCAUUAAUUAUAUAAAACUUAAACAUUUCUUUUCGAAAGUUAAUAUCCGCGUGCAAAUAAUAUUAUAUUAUAAUAUAAUUAUUUGAGAAUAUUAAUAAUAUUGUGAUCUAUAUUGAUUUAUUUUGUAAAAAAAAUCAUAUGAUUACAAAAGAAAAUACAUAUUUAACAUAAUUAUUAUUAAUUAAGUGACUUACUUCUAAGUUUAGUUAGAAAAAUAAAGAACUAAUGAAAGAUAUGCUUUAGAGUUAUGCACGUGAAGCUUCUUUGUAAAAUUUUAACUUGAAAUUUAAAUUCUUUUAUAUUAAAUAUUUCAAUUUGCACCCUUUUAUCAAGAAGAAGAAAGGAGUUCCCCUUCUCUUUUCUUGUCUUAAUAGAUUUUUCUUUCAUAGUAGAUUUUGGAUUCCUUUGCACGAUCUUAGCCAUAGUAUAUUUUUGAUAAAUUUAAAAUAUUUUUGCAUCAAGACAAAUAUUUUGAGCAAAGUCUCGAUAAUAGUCAAUUUUUUCUCUCUCAUAUUUUUUUAUUAUCAUUUUUUCAACAAAUAACUUAUAACAUUAUCUAAAGUCCUAACAUGUUUGCACGAUUUCACAAUGUUCACUUAUUCUCUUAUGAUAAUAGACCAACAAAUAUUAAUGAAUCUCAUUAUAUAUUAUUUUUUUGAAUAAAAGGUUUAGUUCUUCAUAGGUUUGAAUACUUACUCUUCAACUCUAUUUUCGAUCAACCCUAUCAUACUUUCUCAAUUUACUCAACUUGAAUGAAAUUAUAAAUAUUAAUCACUAUCAAAAUUGAAUUCCCUCCUAUCUUAGAACAUUCAACUAAUACUUAACCCCUCAUGUUCAUCAGUACAAUAAGAUAUUAAUCUUAUUCAUCUUUAUCCUUUAUAUUGUACAAAGUAGAUCAAAAUAAUCAUUGUACCAAAAGAUCUACAAUAUUCUAAAAUUAGAGUUACAAAUACAAAGAUAAACAUGGUUGAACUCAUUGUCUGUUUAUAUCGACUAAAACAAAAAAAAAAAAGAAAGAAAGUUUGUAGCAUAGUAUUUAUAAAUAACAAAUGAUAAAUGACCUUUACUAUCAAAUUAGUACAAUAUGCUACGUAAAAGUAAAAUAAUAUUUACAGUAAGAAUUUAAAUAUAAUGAAUUUGAAAAAAUCAAUAUUCGUAAUUGAUUUAUUGAAUUUGAGCAUUGCCCAUUGGGCAUCAGCCACAAGAUACUCACUCAAAUUUUGAUCUUCGAGAUAUCGCUUUUGAGAUAGUAAUCCUAGUGUCGGAUAAAUUUUAUAGAUAGUUAUACAACUAUCAUUUUUUUACUAAGGUCACUUAACUAUCAUUCCUAAUACAAUAUCACAAAAUUUUUAAUAUACUAUUAAAAUCACACAAUUUAAUUUAUAAAUAAUUGUUAAUCAUAACAUAUAGAAAUAUAGUAUAGACAAAUCAAGUGUUAAUCCUAAUAUAUAGAAACAUAAUGGAUUAGUAAUUUAGUAUCAUAGUUUAUUAAUUUUUGAAAUCAUAUUAUUAUCUCACUAAAAUCUAAAGUAACAAUAUUUGCAAUGCAAGAAAAUCAACUAUCUAAUAUCAAUAUUAGUUUCUUCAUAUUUAAUGUAUAACUUGUAAAUUUUUAUGUUAUUGCUAAAAUUCUCAUUGUACAUUUCGACCGAGAUGAAUUUUUAUAAGUCUUUAAAAAUGUAUGAAAUAUUAAAAGAUCACUAACUUAAAUCUUCAAAGAGUACAGAUUAUAUUUUUUUUUUAUAAAACACAAAGUACAUGAAUACUGACUCAUAAAUUUUUCACUAAACAUGUAGAAAAUAAAACGAAUACGCAACAUAACCUGUAUAUUUAAUUGACUUUAUAAAUCAAGAAAAAUCUAUUCUAAAACAAUACUCAAGGUAAAUUGAGAUUCUAGCGAUUAUCAGGACAAGAUAAGUUGUGGCAAAAAUCACUUGCACAAUUCAUCUUCUCCAAUAUGUUAUGGCAGAAACUAAUUAGCGUUUACUGAGUGUAUCCUUCUUAUAUAGUGGUAAAUUUUUAUGGCAUUAGAAAUUCUAGAUUAAUUGUUGUUGGUACAAUAUUUUCAUAUAUAUGAGAAUAAUUGUUAAUUGAUUAUUCAUUUUCUAUUUAUAUGUUUCAAUCAAUUUUGUCAUGCUUCCUUAAUUGACUUACAUUGAAGGAAAUCAUAAAUACUUUUUGUCAUAUAAAUAUUCAUUCUAUAGUAAUACUUUAAUUGCAUAUAUUCUAAUUUAUUAGUAACUCACACCUACAUUUCAUCAUAUAAAAAUUAUUAUAAAUUUUUAUUAUUAAGAAAUAUUUAUUCCUAAUUCAUUUUAUUGAUCUGCACAUUUAAAUUUUUAUAUAAUAUAAUUUAAUCUUUUUUAAUUAAUGUUUGUUCAUCAAAACGAAGUAUCUUUUUCAAAUUUGAUUAUUUUAAAAUUCAAAAUUAUUCUUACAAACAUAUAUAAGGUUAUAUAAUUAGUCAAUUAAAGAAUAAUUUUGUAAGGCAAAAUUUUAUUUGACUUCAAAUAUUAGUUAGGACUAUGUAAUUUUAAUAGUUAUUUUCAAUAAACAUUAUGCAAUCUUUUCUGUGUAGUAAUAUUCAUUUUUUAAAAAAAUUAAUAUUCAUUUAUUUUCAAUCUAUUCUCCUUUUAAAUUCAAGACUAUCUUUUAUUCAUUUCCUAAUAUAGAAUGAUAGUGUAAUUACUCAUUGGUGGUUAUCCUAAAUUAUGAAAAUCCUUUCAUAAAAUAUGAAUGCAUAUUAUUUUAAAUAUGGAUUACUUAAAAUAUAUCGAAUGAAAAUCCUUCCAAUAAAUAUGAAUGCAUAUUUUUGGAAUAAAAUUACUUGAUAUAUAUUGAAAUAAAUUUCUUCCAUUUUGUAGUCCAAUGUUACCAUUUGAGUGAUCACAUAUUUUUCAUAAUAUUUUUAAUUUUAGAAUAACUCUUUGAUUAUUAUAUAUUUUUUUCCAUAUAAGUUGUUUUAUUAAUAAUUGAUUAUUCUCUUAAUUGAUAUUUCUUGGUAUUUUCUUGAUUUAGUCAAUUGUGAUCAAAUCAUAAAUGUUCUUUUUUUUCUAUAUAAUAUUAUUAUUUAAAUUAAUUAUACACACAUUUUGAUCGAUUACAUCUUUUUCAUAAUAUUUUUAAUUUUGGAAGGACUCAUUUGUCAUAAAAAUCUUUUUCAUAUAAGUUACUUGAUUAUUAAAUUAGUUGUUCUCUAAUUAAUUUUUUUGUAAUACUUUUUUAUUUACUAAAUUGUAGUGAAAUCAUAAAUGUUUUUAAAAUAAUAUUAUUAUUUAAAUUAAUUAUGUAUAUUUUUUUAGGGAUAACAUUUUUUAAUAAUAUUUUUUAAUUUUGAAAUUUUUAUAAAUGUAUUUACAUUAUAGUGAAUGUCUAUCAAGACCUACUUCUUCUUUAUUCUUUAUUAUUUCAUAGCACGUUAUUAGCACGAAGCUGUAACCAAUUGAGUAAUAAUUGAGAUAAAGCCGCCCAAAACGUGAUCUGUCAAUUGCUCAACAUGCUUGAGGUAUUAUUUUUCUUUUAAUAAUUCCUCAUGAGGUAUGAUUUCUUUUAUUAAAUAAUUCCUUUAUCUUGUUCCGAUACGGCAAAGAGCAAUAGAUCCACGGUUGGGACAAUGCACUAUUUUAACAUUUACAUUACUGCUACUUUGAAUGAAAAAAAGAACUAAUUAAUACUUCAUUGAAUAAUUUUGAUUUGAAAAGAAUAAUUAUAAAAGGGUUACAUGCAAAGGUCCAUGCAUAUCUAAAAUUGCGUGGUACGGAAGAUUGAUUGGAAAUUUCUUCCCUCUGUCUGUGUAUUCUUUACACAAUUUAUAUAUUUUUAUAUUAUAUUAUUAUAACAUAUCUAUUGACAUUAAAUCUUCUAUAUAAUUUCAAGGUUAGUAAUUUGUUAUCUGUAUUUUGUUACUAAUAAUAUAAUUAUUGUUGGAUUUGAGGAAAAAUAAUUGAUGUGGAACCAUUAUGUUUUAAAUUUAUUCCUCAAGAACAAUAUUAUCAAAAGAAAUAUAAUAUGUUGGGUUCAAGUUCCAUCAAUUUAUGCCUAAGACGCCUUUAUAUGGAUAAGACGUUGAGUUUGAAUUUCAAUGCAUUAUAUUGAUGAUAUUAUGAUGGCUAAGGUAAAAUAAUGAAUAUUCGGUGAAACAUGUCCCAUUAAAUAUGCUCCAUUCCUUGAAUUGAAUGUGGUAGCAAUAAAUAAUAUGUAUGCCUCAAUUUGCUCUUGUAGCAGCUUUCAUAAUUUGAUACGCUUAAAGCAUGAUUAUAUUCUAUUACUGGGGAAUGAGAAACUUAUUAAUGCAAACGUGCACUUGAUUGUGAUUGUAUCACAACUCACCUGCGAAAGAGGUUGAAUAAUUUUGAAAUCUACUUCUGAAGUAGUAAAUCUGAAAUUUAUUCAUAUAAUAGUAAAUCUGAAUUUUACUAAAGCAAAAACACAUAUCAUGGUAAACUUGGAGUUUACUAGAUUAGAAGUUCAUAAGUUGACAUGAACGAUUGUGAUAUUCCGAAUAUGUGCAUACUGAGUAUUGAACAUAUAUUGAAGAAUUAGAAAAUUCUUCAUGAACUUUAAUGUUGUUUGUUUUCAUGAUAAAUUGGUUGGACCAACUAAUUUUGGAAUUGGAUCCCUCCAAAUCUGAAAAGAAUAAAAGGUGAAUAAGAGUCCGUUCACCUAUCAUGUGAUAUGUUGAAAAGAUGCAUCAAUAAGAUGAUCAUAUGUACAGUCAUUGUCAACCUGCAGUUUGACAUUCAUAAAGUUGCUUGCUCAACAAAAUUGAGUUAAGAACAUAAUUUUCAAAUUGUGCAAUCAAGAAAGUUAUCAUGAUGAUGAUGGUUUAGCAUUGAAUGCCUUCAAUAAAUAGAUAAACCAUUGCUAAUGAGAACAAAGCUUCAUGUGUUGAUCUAAAAUAUGAUAUGUUGCAUACAAUAACACUUGUAUGUAUUAGGCCAAUAAAUUAUGAUUAUUUCUUCCCCUCAAUUGGUUCAAGGUCAUGAACCAACUAUUCCAUCUAAUAAUUUUGAUGUGUGGUAUACGAUUAAUGAAUGUACCAUGAUGCACAAAGAUNNNNNNNNNNNNNNNNNNNNNNNNNNNNNNNNNNNNNNNNNNNNNNNNNNNNNNNNNNNNNNNNNNNNNNNNNNNNNNNNNNNNNNNNNNNNNNNNNNNNNNNNNNNNNNNNNNNNNNNNNNNNNNNNNNNNNNNNNNNNNNNNNNNNNNNNNNNNNNNNNNNNNNNNNNNNNNNNNNNNNNNNNNNNNNNNNNNNNNNNNNNNNNNNNNNNNNNNNNNNNNNNNNNNNNNNNNNNNNNNNNNNNAGGUUCAUGUACCUGAAAAUAAUGAAGUGAUGAGAUCUCAAAAUGUUAUGUCGCAUUGUGAACCGAUACUAAAUGAUAUAUCAUCAAUAUAUUUGACACAAUAUUAGCGCAAUAUUGUGAAAUAUUACGAGGAUCUUAAUUCUACGUUAAUUUAAGCAUGCUGACGUAGAAACAUUUAUCAAGUGACAUGAAAGGAUGCAUUUUGGCAAGUAUUAAACUUAUUUGAUUUACAGUCCAGAUAUGUGAAGAUGUCACUAAUAAAAUGUUGAAUAUUGUCACUUGAUAAAACUUAUAUGAAAAACUUUUAAGGAUUCAAAAUGCUUGAAGCAUAUAAAAGUUUCUGGGAAACUUAUUUAUAAUCCUUAUACUGUAUAAGCUUAUUGCUUGAACAUCAUUUGAACUCUUGGAGAGUUUUCAAAGCAAUAGAUUAUUUGUCGAAAUUCAAAAUAUAUCGAAUUGGAUUGAUUAUGAAGUACCAUAUCUUAGUGCAAUUGAUGUACUCAUGUACCUUGCAAAUACUACAAGGCCUAUAGCCUUUUCAGUCAAUUUGUUAGCAAGAUAUAUUUGUGCUCCUACUAUAAGACAUCAAAAUGGGAUAAAACACAUGAGCUUGUUUUAUUCUAAAUAUUGCAGUCCCGAUCUUAUUAGUCAUGCUGAUGUUGGGUACUUAUCUGACCCGCAUAAAGUUCGGUCUCAAAUAGGCUAUGCGUUCAUAUGUGGUGGUACUGCCAUAUAUUGGAGAUAUACAAAGCAGUCUAUCGUAGCCACUUCAUUGAAUCAUGCUGAGAUAAUAACUAUUCAUAAAGCAAGCCGAGAAUGUGUAUGGUUGAGGUCCAUGAUACAUCUCAUUCGAGAAAAAUAUGGUGUGAAAUAUGACAAUCUACCCACAAUUUUAUACAGAGAUAAUUUAGCAUACAUAGCAUAUCUUAAGGGAAGAUUCAUAAAUGGAGAUAGAACGAAGCACAUUUUGCCAAAGCUUUUCUACGUACAUGAGCUACAAAAGAAUGAUGAGAUUAACGUGCAACAGAUUCGUUCAACUGACAAUGUGACUGAUUUAUUCACCAAAUCUUCUCCAACUGCAACUUUCAAGAAGAUGUUGCACAAGAUUGAGAUGCAAAGGUCAAGGAUGUUCUCAUUAAGGGGAAUUAAUACGCGCUAUACUCUUUUUUCCUUACGAGAUUUUGUCCCACUGGGUUUUCCUUGUAAGUUUUUAAUGAGGCAGCCGAAAUGCGUAUUAUUAGAGAUGUGUACUCUUUUUCCUUCACUAGAUUUUUUUCCAACUGAGUUUUUUCUAGUAAGGUUUUAACGAGACACAUUAUCUACCAAUUAGACAUUCAAUGGGGAGUGUUAUAAAUGUAUUUACAUUAUAGUGAAUGUCUAUCAAGAUCUAUCAAGAUCUACCUUGAUAUCUAUUAGGAUUUGAAGCAUCUGUCUGUUACUCAGACUAGGAGUAAAUUUUUCCUAUAAAUAAAGGAAUUUUAUUCAUUGUAUUUACAAUCUUAUGAUCUUUCAUCUCUUAAGAAAAGAAAUAAGAAUUACUCAGAAAUAAGAAUUACUCUCUCUAUUCUCUCUACUCUCUCUACUCUUCUUCGUUAUUCGUUAUUGUUUCAUAACAGAAAUGACUUUUUGACUAUUAUAAUCUUAUUUAUAUAAGUGACAUGAUUACUAUUUACUAAUUGAUUUUUUUUGUAAUGUUUUCUUCAUUUACUCAAUUGUAGUAAACUCGUAAAUAUUUACUUUUUAUAAUAUUAUUAUUUAUGUUGUUUAAAUUAAUUGUUCACAUAUUUUAAGGAAUGACAUCUCUAUUGAAAUAUUUUUUAUUCUGGAAUGACGUUUUGGUCAUAGUAAUUUUUUUCAUAUAAAUUGCUUGAUUACUAAUUGGUUAUUCACUAAAAUAAAUUUUGUUGCCAACAAAAUAGAUUCUUAUUACCAAAAUACCAAGUGAUUAGUUCUCGAUAUGCCACUUGGCUUAAUUUUAAGCUAACUACUUUGUUUUAUCAUAUAAAUAUAUAGAUUUUCAAGCAAUCCUACUUAUCAUGUGUACAUUUAUUUUUACAAACUAUAUUAUUUAGGUAUAUACUUAGUAAAUUUUAAUUAACCUGGUGUCUAAGUGACACUUGUAGUGACGAGGUGUCUUAAGUGCUGUGUGUCUAUUGGGUCACAGCUUAAUAUAAAUAUAAUUACCUCAAAUUACAACAACAACAACAACAACAUACCCAGUAUAUUCCCACAUAGUGGAGUUUGGGGAGGGUAAAAUGUACACAGUCCAUACCACUAUCCCGACGGGGGUAGAAAGGCUGUUUUCGAUAGACCCCCAGCUCAGGACCAAGGACCAUCCUUCAUACCAAACACGCCCUAAAUAUAAAACAAAUCCAAGCUGAAUAGAGAAAAUAGAGGCUCAGAUCUGUAUUAAGCUCGGGCAGCAAGAGAGUCCAACAACGCCUUGGCUGCAAAACCAUCAGAAAAUCUGGUAGCAUGCCCCGUCAAGAUGCGCGUCGGAUAACAUCAAAUGAUCAAUUAAUCUGCUCGGAAGGGAAUAAAAUAUGACAAAAUCAUCAUCGCCUCUUUAAAGCCACCGAUUAUACUCGGCACUAAAUGCUCCAACAGAACCAUUAGAAAAAGGAGAGAAAAAAAAGAGCUGAAGGUUGUCGAAAACCUUCAAACAAAUGAUGUUAACCAUAUAUAUUUCCCUUCGUUCAAAAUCAAUAAAAGGGUUGUUGGCAUUCUUAAAUAAACUUAAUAUCUUAUCAAAAAACAGCAUAUAAUGAACGUAUUUGGUUGUAUUUUGCUAUUUUAUUAUCUUUUUUGUUUUUAUAAUCCUGCAUAAGAUUUUUUUUUUUUUCAAUGAAAGCCUAUCAAAAAUAAUUUUCUUUAUCUCACAAAAAUAAAAAUAAGAUUUAUGUAUAUUCAUAAAUCUCAGUAUCUUAAUCUCACUAGCAUAUUAUUCGUAUUGCUUUAUAAUAUCACCUAAGUGGAUUUAUAUAUAUUCAAUGAUUUCAUAAGAUUCUUGAAUUACUCUAGAGAGUUCCAAGAACCAAAAGAUCUUUUUGACAAGUCUUGUGAAUACAACCAAAAGUGACCAAUCAUCAUAAUGAUGUCAAAUUUUUAUCAACUCUUCUUUUGCAUUUAUAUAAUUUCG